GUGGCGAACGGGUGAGUAUCACGUGAGUAACCUUCCCUUGACUCUGGGAUAAGCCCGGGAAACUGGGUCUAAUACCGGAUACGACCAGUCCUCGCAUGGGGUGCUGGUGGAAAGAUUUAUCGGUCUUGGAUGGACUCGCGGCCUAUCAGCUUGUUGGUGAGGUAAUGGCUCACCAAGGCGAUGACGGGUAGCCGGCCUGAGAGGGUGACCGGCCACACUGGGACUGAGACACGGCCCAGACUCCUACGGGAGGCAGCAGUGGGGAAUAUUGCACAAUGGGCGAAAGCCUGAUGCAGCGACGCCGCGUGCGGGAUGACGGCCUUCGGGUUGUAAACCGCUUUCAGCAGGGAAGAAGCGAAAGUGACGGUACCUGCAGAAGAAGCGCCGGCUAACUACGUGCCAGCAGCCGCGGUAAUACGUAGGGCGCGAGCGUUAUCCGGAAUUAUUGGGCGUAAAGAGCUCGUAGGCGGUUUGUCACGUCUGCUGUGAAAGCCCGAGGCUCAACCUCGGGUGUGCAGUGGGUACGGGCAGACUAGAGUGCAGUAGGGGAGACUGGAAUUCCUGGUGUAGCGGUGAAAU
rnacentral:rRNA from 2 species